AGUAGGCAGCUGACAGAAAGUUCUGCAAUUGCCUGUGCCAAACUGUGUAAAGCAAGUACUUACAUCAAUUGGGAAGAUAACGCUGUCAUUUUCCUACUUGUUCAGUCCAUGGUGGUUGAUCUUAAGAACCUGCUUUUUAAUCCAAGUAAGCCAGUCUCAAGGGGCAGUCAGCCUGCAGAUGUGGAUCUUAUGAUUGACUGCCUUGUUUCUUGCCUUCGUGUAAGCCCUCACAACAACCAACAGUUUAAGAUCUGCCUGGUGCAGAAUUCACAUUCUACAUUUCACUAUGUGCUGGUAAAUUCACUCCAUCAAAUCAUCACCAAUG